UUCACAUACGUAUUUACCAUAGACUGUAUAUAAUGGUAUUUACGCAGCUAAUCAACGUCAUUGACAGGCGUCCUUAUGUGCAGCCAUCGUUGUUGUCAUAGAUAUGAAUGAGUAGAUAGGACACGCCCCUUUGAGCUGCGGCUACAGCGAGGCUAAGCUAGUGGGGGCGAAGUUUCAGUGCAUUCCGUUGAUGUAGACGGCGUGAAAACGGAAACAACAAGUAUGCCGGCUAACUGUGCUGCAUACAGUUACACACUACGUCGUACGAUUGAGACAAGGAAACUUGGAAUGACUUUUCAUAGGUUUCCCAGAGACUAUGGGUUGAAGAGGAAUUGGAAGUUUGUCGGCUUAGACCUGGUGUCAUUCCAUCAGUGUUAAACUUCCCGGCUCAUCUUGGAAGAGUAUGUGCCAGAAAGACCACGACCAGGCAGCCUUGAGAUCUUAGGCAGCGUCUCCCUGAGGUCCCUCUCUGUCUCCCCACACAUCCACCAACCACUGGAACACAUCUCCAAAGUUCUGCCGGGCCACCUCAGCUUCCCCUCAGAACAAGUGCUGCCACCUGCCAGAUGAAGGAGCCUUUUGAGAGGCAGCUGGCAUCGUGAUUGGACUGUACUUUGGUCUGUUCCAAUCCAGCUUCAGCUCCAGAGACGGCAGGCGGGACGAGUCAACGGAGGCCGGAUGGACGAAGGCAUGCAGCUGAGUACAAUCCAGAAAACAACAGAGGAGGAGUGCAGGGCCAGAACAACCAGAGUAGCAUCGUAUGUCUCUUAGAAAACAUCAUAGUAGAGCCUUUGAGAUGAAAAAACGCCAUCAUAUACAUCGUAUAUUGUACAAAUAACAAGUCAAAGGAAAGAGACAUACAUUGUAGAAUUGUAGUAAUUGUGGGCUGACUGAUUUACUGAUUAUCAGUAUUUUAUUUUUUACUGAUUUACGGUAAUAAAUACAUUUAAAAAUGGUGCUACUUUGGCUCUGAACCUUAAUCUACCUGUGGUCGCUCUGUCUUCUGGAGUGAUUUGAUUGGUUAUACGUCACGAAUAAAACUCCUUUAACUUAACAUCUGUAAACAAAACAAAAACGUAUCAACAAAGUUUUCUGUUAGUUUAUGUUCUUCUAAGUUUAACUCCAAGAUUUUAAAUACUUUCAUUUACUGCAAAUGAAUAUCUACUCCAAAUGUCUCACUAAUAAUCAUUAUCAGCCUUAAAAACCCACAAAACACCCCUCUAUACUCGACCACACUUAGUACAGUCCGGUUCCCCCUUCUAUAAAUCUGCUUGGAAUCUUCCACUUCCUGUUUGUCAAAGUGGCCUUCUACCUGGACAGGUUUUGUUGGAGCUCAUGCAACAAACAUUUUGGGUAACUGCACUUUAAUAUGGAUGGAUGACACUGAAUUAGAGUCUGUUUUAAUGAGACUGAGUUAAGAUGUGUAGCUCUGUCAUUAAAUAGGAAAUUAUUUCUCAGAAUUCACAGAGAAAAGUCUGAAAUGUUUGCUAGGUUAGCGUCCCACAUGUUCUUUGGCUCAGCUAAAGCUAACUCUCUCCAACUUCUGGAUCUCUUGAGUUGCUUGUUGUUAAAAUAUCUUGCUAGAGGUGCUGAAGCUCAGAAAGUCUGAGAUGUUUGUUCAAAAUAAGCUCAUUCUCAAGUCUUAUCUGAACUGUCCUCUUUUGUUUGAACUUUCCCUAAACUUAGGAGUUAAUGACAGAGCAGCACAUCCAGACUCCGUCUCAUUUAUGUAGAGAUUAAACUUCAGUGUCAUUCAUUGAUGUUGAAGUGCAGUUUUUCAAAUGUUUGUUGCACAUGCUCCCGACCAAACCAGUCCAGGUGGAAGACGAUGUGAAGAGAAAGCUCCAGAGGAUGAAUAUCACACAUUUACGUUGGAAAUAAAUGUCCUUUAAUUAGACAUUGUCAUGCAAAUGAUGUUCAAAUCUUUGAGUGUUUUGUUGAUGUUGGUUUCUAAAUGUUUUUUGACACUCGGCCCCAAAGAUUAAAACCUUUUACGGCUCACAAGCUGCAACAAUUCA